GGAUCAGCAGAAAUUGUUGGGUUCUUUUUAAAAGUGUUUUGAACAACCUUCCUGAGUAAUGCAAUUUUCAUGGCUAUAAUUGGGGGAAGCAGUCAGGAUCCCUGCUGCUGGAUUCCUGCGUCGGUAUGCUGACAGCCAGAAUGCAGAAUAAGAGAAACACUGCGGCACUGGAGAGGUCUUGCGGAGUAUCCUUCCCAAGGUGCAGGAACCAGCGUGGAUGAAGUGACAGGACAGUUCCCUUGCUGUACCAUGGUCGACCUACAUGUGAUGUGGACCUGAACCUCCGCCAUGUAGCUGACAACCCCCCUCAGGUCUUGCGGAGUAUCCUUCCCAAGGUGCAGGAACCAGCAUGGAUGAAAAGGGACACGACAGUUCCCCUGCUGUACCAUGGGCGACCUAACACAAUACCACUGCAUCUUUGAAAUUUUACAUUUUAUUUACUAAUUAUUUAAAGAAAAACACACAACUUCUCAUUUUAAAAAUUUA